rnacentral:rRNA from 1 species
GACGAACGCUGGCGGCGUGCCUAAUACAUGCAAGUAGAACGCACAGUUUAUACCGUAGCUUGCUACACCAUAGACUGUGAGUUGCGAACGGGUGAGUAACGCGUAGGUAACCUGCCUGGCAGCGGGGGAUAACUAUUGGAAACGAUAGCUAAUACCGCAUAAUAUUAAUUAUUGCAUGAUAAUUAAUUGAAAGGUGCAAUUGCACCACUACCAGAUGGACCUGCGUUGUAUUAGCUAGUAGGUGAGGUAACGGCUCACCUAGGCGACGAUACAUAGCCGACCUGAGAGGGUGAUCGGCCACACUGGGACUGAGACACGGCCCAGACUCCUACGGGGGGCAGCAGUAGGGAAUCUUCGGCAAUGGACGAAAGUAUGACCGAGCAACGCCGCGUGAGUGAAGAAGGUUUUCGGAUCGUAAAGCUCUGUUGUAAGAGAAGAACGGGUGUGAGAGUGGAAAGUUCACAAUGUGACGGUAUCUUACCAGAAAGGGACGGCUAACUACGUG